ensembl:lncRNA novel transcript
CCUGGUCUUGAGACCCGGUCUUGGGACGCAGGGCUACCGUGCAGCUGAGGGUGCCGGUUUUGGGUAUGGGUACUGUGUAGAAGUGGAGGAGGAAGCUGAAGCGCGGGUCACCCUCGGGGCUUGGGGACAGCAGGCUCACACAGUUGCCCUUGGCCGCCCGGCCCUGGAUGAGUUCCACGGUGCCUCCCUCAGGCCCCAAGUCCAGGUGGCAGCUGUCUAACUGGAGCAGGAACUCGGAGACGGAUGGGGACACUCUGACCUGCAUGGGCUGUCUCCCUCCUGACUCUGGGAGUCUCAUCUCCUCUGGAGUCAUGGUGGGAAGAAAGGCGGAGAGGAAGUUCCAGGAGCUGGGAGGCCCGAGGGGUGACAGGCAUGCCAGGUGUGGUGGCAGACACCCAUAGUCCCAGCUACUGGGAAGGCUGAGGCACAAGAAUCGCUUGAACCUGAGAGGAGGAGGCUGCAGUGAGCCGAGAUCACAUCAUUGCACUCCAGCCUUGGUGACAGAGCGAGACCUCGUCUCU